GUUGGCAAAGGACAAUUUCAUUGACCUUCAGGCUGCUGAAAAAAGUGCGGGAGGGGCAGUAAAGCUUGAAUGGCUACAAGUGCUGUUCCAGUGUACGGACCUGCCACGUGCUGCUUCUCCAUUCACCCAUAAGUGGACACCUUGGUGGCAUCCACGUUUCAGCUGCUGUGAGUAAUGCUGCUAUGAAGAUGGCCGAAAUUUCCCAUGAAGACCCUGCUCAAUUCGUAUGGAUGUACAGUAUACUCAAAAGUCAAAACCUACUGAUGCCUGCUAGUGCUCCUAAGCCACUUCCCUUAAAAGGGAUAGCAGAUAUUCCAAAGGUCCAAACUCUGCACCUUCUUUGACAACCCCAUGAAUCCCCCAGGCCCCA